rnacentral:rRNA from 1 species
AUUGAACGCUGGCGGAAUGCUUUACACAUGCAAGUCGAGCGGCAGCGCGGGGCAACCUGGCGGCGAGCGGCGAACGGGUGAGUAAUACAUCGGAACGUACCCAGUUGUGGGAGAUAGCCCGGCGAAAGCCGGAUUAAUACCGCAUACGACCUGAGGGUGAAAGGGGGGGAUCGCAAGACCUCUCGCAGUUGGAGCGGCCGAUGGCGGAUUAGCUAGUUGGUAGGGUAAAGGCCUACCAAGGCGACGAUCCGUAGCGGGUCUGAGAGGACGACCCGCCACACUGGAACUGAGACACGGUCCAGACUCCUACGGGAGGCAGCAGUGGGGAAUUUUGGACAAUGGGGGCAACCCUGAUCCAGCCAUCCCGCGUGAGUGAAGAAGGCCUUCGGGUUGUAAAGCUCUUUCGGCAGGAACGAAACGGUCUUUUCUAAUACAAGAGGCUAAUGACGGUACCUGAAGAAGAAGCACCGGCUAACUACGUGCCAGCCGCCGCCGUAA